AGCGCUUAUAUAAAGACCCUCUGAACAUACGUAAGAAAUUCCCCACCUAAACACAGACAACAUAAUGGAACAGGGCUAACUAAAAAAUUAGC